AUUGAACGCUGGCGGUAUGCUUAACACAUGCAAGUCGAACGGUAACAGGCCUUCGGGCGCUGACGAGUGGCGGACGGGUGAGUAACGCGUAGGAAUCUGCCUUAUAGUGGGGGACAACGUGGGGAAACCCACGCUAAUACCGAAUACGCCCUACGGGGGAAAGCGGGGGAUCGUCGGCCCCCGCGCUAUGAGAUGGGCGUGCGUUAGUAUAGCUUGUUGGUAGGGUAAAGGCCUACCAAGGCGACGAUCUAUAGCUGGUCUGAGAGGACGAUCAGCCACACUGGGACUGAGACACGGCCCAGACUCCUACGGGAGGCAGCAGUGGGGAAUAUUGGACAAUGGGCGCAAGCCUGAUCCAGCAAUACCGCGUGUGUGAAGAAGGCCCUAGGGUUGUAAAGCACUUUCAAUGGGGAGGAAAACCUGCCGGUCAAUACCCGGUAGCUUGACAUUACCUAUAGAAGAAGCACCGGCUAACUCCGUGCCAGCCGCCGCAGUAAAAC
rnacentral:rRNA from 1 species